rnacentral:tRNA from 1 species
UAUGGGUAUGCUGAAAUUUGGUAACCAGGUUCCGUUUAGGCCGGGAUAGUUUUAACUUUACAAGUUCAAGUCUUGUUACCCAUAU